GCUCCUUCCAGGUCCUGAGAGGACGCGCACAGCAGCUACAGCACCCCGCGGCUGGGCGGUCACCCGGCAGGACUGAAGACCCCUGGACAGCAGCUCAGUAACAGAACCCUGCACCCAGGGUCAGCGCAGGAGCCCAGCCACUGAGCCAUGCCGGGCUCCGGGUGGCCUGCAGGGAGUCCAGCCCCGGCAGCCAGGUGGUCAUGAACGGCCACAGCCACAAUGGUAGUGUGGGGCGGCCGCUGGGCAGCGGGCCAGGUGUUCUGGGCCGAGACCCUCUGGACCCUGAAGCAGGCCGCCCCCUGCACCCCCCGCCCAGCCCCGGCCUCCAGGUGGUGGUGGCCAAGAGCGAGCCGUCCAGGCUCUCACCAGGCAGCCCCCGGGGGCAGCCCCAGGACCAGGAGGAGGAGGAGGAGGAGGAGGGGGAGGAGGAGGAGGAGGACAAAGCAGGCAGGCGGAGGGGCCCUGGGAAGACCCCGACUGUGGGCCACCGCCUGGGCCACCGCAGGGCCCUCUUUGAGAAGAGGAAACGGCUCAGUGACUACGCCCUCAUCUUCGGCAUGUUUGGCAUCGUCGUCAUGGUGACGGAGACCGAGCUGUCCUGGGGGGUGUACACCAAGGACUCGCUCUAUUCGUUCGCCCUGAAAUGCCUCAUCAGCCUGUCCACCGCCAUCCUGCUGGGCCUCGUGGUCCUCUACCACGCCCGGGAGAUCCAGCUGUUCAUGGUGGACAACGGCGCGGAUGACUGGCGCAUCGCCAUGACCUGCGAGCGCGUCUUCCUCAUCUCGCUGGAGCUCGCCGUGUGCGCCAUCCACCCGGUGCCCGGCCACUACCGCUUCACGUGGACGGCGCGGCUGGCCUUCACGUACGCGCCGUCGGUGGCCGAGGCCGACGUGGACGUGCUGCUGUCCAUCCCGAUGUUCCUCCGCCUCUACCUGCUGGGCCGCGUGAUGCUGCUGCACAGCAAGAUCUUCACGGACGCCUCGAGCCGCAGCAUCGGGGCGCUCAACAAGAUCACCUUCAACACGCGCUUCGUCAUGAAGACGCUCAUGACCAUCUGCCCGGGCACCGUGCUGCUCGUCUUCAGCAUCUCCUCCUGGAUCAUCGCGGCCUGGACCGUGCGCGUGUGUGAGAGGUACCACGACAAGCAAGAAGUGACCAGCAACUUCCUGGGGGCCAUGUGGCUCAUCUCCAUCACCUUCCUCUCCAUUGGCUAUGGUGACAUGGUGCCCCACACCUACUGCGGGAAGGGCGUGUGCCUGCUCACCGGCAUCAUGGGGGCUGGCUGCACGGCGCUCGUGGUGGCGGUGGUGGCCCGGAAGCUGGAGCUCACUAAGGCUGAAAAGCACGUGCAUAAUUUCAUGAUGGACACUCAGCUCACCAAGCGGGUAAAAAAUGCCGCUGCUAAUGUUCUCAGGGAGACGUGGCUCAUCUACAAACACACCAGGCUGGUGAAGAAGCCAGACCAAGCCCGGGUUCGGAAACACCAGCGGUCUUGCUAUGUUGUCCAGCUGGCCUUGAACUCCUAGACUCAAGGAAUCCUCCUUCCUCAGUCUUCUGAGUAGAUGGGACGACAGGCUCGGGGCACAGCACUUGGCUACCAUGGGAGGGGUUUUUGUUUGUUUAUUUUGCUUUGUUUUUCCGUGGUGCUGGGGAUGGAACCCAGGGCCUCGUGCAUGCUAGACAAGUGCUCCUCAACUGAGCUCCCCCAGCCCCUCCCCUUUCUGUAAGGACACUGGUCACAAUGGAUUAGGGCCACCCUAAUGACCUUAUCUUUGCUGAGGACACGUGCAAAGACCCUAUUUCCUAUUUGGUCACAUUUUAAGGUACUGGGAGUGGGGGUAAUUUGGGGGAGAACAUGGUUCACCCUAAACAGGGCAGUUCAGAGAAGCCAAGGAUACUAUUCCCAGUGCAAGGCUGUCUGGGUUUCCUGGCGGCCUCCUGCUGUUCCUGGGGCUCCCCAGCACCCAGCCCUGAACUCUGGGGCUGGGGGUGACUUUCCAUCUCUGCUUCUCUGGACUGGGGCUCCCUGGGCGUCUCCUGCCGGGGGCCCUACGAAGGCUGAGCUUGGAGUGCUGGGUCUGGGGUGUGGGGAGGUGAGUGCUCCCUGACGUGGUGCCCUGGGCUGACCAGCACAGAAGGGACCGUGGGGACAGGAGAGCACACACAUCGGCUGCCCCCACAGGCAGGUGUCCAGGGGCCGAGGGCAUAGAGAACAAGGGGCAGUUAUGGGUUCAAAUCCUGCUGGGGUGCCUGCCGCUGGGCAGUGGCUGUGCCCCUCAUACCUCAGCUUUUCUGGGUGAAACGCCAUCUGCAGGGUCCGGGCCGAUGUGCCCAGCGAGGCCGCUUGGCCAGGACCGUGUGGACACUGCUGAGGGGAGGGACCGAGGACAGGCACCUGCCUGGGGGCUGGCCCUGAGCCUUCAAGGCUGGGCCCCUCCUGCAGAGCAACAGCAGCCCCUCUGCCACGGGACCCCCAGCUUGGCCCUGGGUGGGGUGCGGGGCCGGGCGGGGUCGGGCGCGGGCGGCUCAGCUGGGCUGACAGUAAAAUUGCCUCGUGGUUUCCUCCUGCUCUGCCGGUCCUGCCAGGGCUCAAAAGCUCCGCAGUGUGAAGAUUGAACAAGGGAAGCUGAAUGACCAGGCCAACACGCUGGCCGAGCUGGCCAAGACCCAGAGCGUCAUGUAUGACCUGGUGUCCGAGCUGCACGCCCAGCAGGAGGAACUCGAGGUCCGC